rnacentral:tRNA from 1 species
CCCUGGGUAGUGCAAACAGUUAAUAUGCUUGGCUGCUAACCAAAAGGUUGGAGGUUUGAUUCCUUCCAGAGGUU